UACGUAGGGGGCUAGCGUUGUCCGGAUUUAUUGGGCGUAAAGAGCGUGUAGGCGGCCAGGUAGGUCUGCUGUGAAAACUCGAGGCUCAACCUCGAGACGUCGGCGGAAACCAUCUGGCUAGAGUCCGGAAGAGGAGAGUGAAUUCCUGGUGUAGCGGUGAAAUGCGCAGAUAUCAGGAAGAACACCCGUGGCGAAGGCGGCUCUCUGGGACGGUACUGACGCUGAGACGCGAAAGCGUGGGGAGCGAACAGG
rnacentral:rRNA from 1 species